rnacentral:rRNA from 1 species
CCUACGGGAGGCAGCAGUGGGGAAUAUUGGACAAUGGGCGAAAGCCUGAUCCAGCCAUGCCGCGUGUGUGAAGAAGGCCUUCGGGUUGUAAAGCACUUUCAGUGGGGAAGAAAGCCUUGGGGCUAAUACCCUCGAGGAAGGACAUCACCCACAGAAGAAGCACCGGCUAACUCCGUGCCAGCAGCCGCGGUAAUACGGAGGGUGCGAGCGUUAAUCGGAAUUACUGGGCGUAAAGCGCGCGUAGGCGGUCUGAUAAGCAGGUUGUGAAAGCCCCGGGCUCAACCUGGGAACGGCAUCCGGAACUGUCAGGCUAGAGUGCAGGAGAGGAAGGUAGAAUUCCCGGUGUAGCGGUGAAAUGCGUAGAGAUCGGGAGGAAUACCAGUGGCGAAGGCGGCCUUCUGGACUGACACUGACGCUGAGGUGCGAAAGCGUGGGUAGCAAACAGGAUUAGAUACCCGUGUACUC